AGCUUUGUGCAGUGGCUAUAUCAUAACCAAUGAGGUUUAUCUGAGGUGCAAUUAUUGCUUAUUAAAAAUUAUUAGAGUGGACUCACUGCUGUAACAAUUCCAAAAUCUUGCUAACAAAGUUCUUUUAUUGGCCCUGUCA
rnacentral:snRNA from 1 species